rnacentral:rRNA from 1 species
UACGUAGGGGGCGAGCGUUGUCCGGAUUCAUUGGGCGUAAAGAGCUCGUAGGCGGCUUGGCAAGUCGGGUGUGAAAACUCCGGGCUCAACCUGGAGACGCCACCCGAUACUGCCAUGGCUUGAGUCCGGUAGGGGACCACGGAAUUCCUGGUGUAGCGGUGAAAUGCGCAGAUAUCAGGAGGAACACCGGUGGCGAAGGCGGGUCUCUGGGCAGUAACUGACGCUGAGGAACGAAAGCGUGGGUAGCGAACAGG